rnacentral:lncRNA from 1 species
UCAUAUUGGCUUCAGUGUAUAUGCGACAAUGACUUUUGGUUGCCCCAAAAGACAUGAAAGCUGUCGUUGUCUCUGCAAUGGCACGAAAUUUGUGUGCAUUUCAAGGCUGCACUCUCGGCAGCCGAGGUUUCUACUCUUUGCAUGAAAGUUAUGUUUUUAAUUUUUAAUCCAAAACUUUGUUAAUAUUUUUUGAAUAAAUGUAUAUCAUAUUUUUU